CGCCAGACUCCUACGGGAGGCAGCAGUGGGGGAUAUUGCACAAUGGGGGAAACCCUGAUGCAGCGACGCCGCGUGAGCGAUGAAGUAUUUCGGUAUGUAAAGCUCUAUCAGCAGGGAAGAAGAUGACGGUACCUGACUAAGAAGCCCCGGCUAACUACGUGCCAGCAGCCGCGGUAAUACGUAGGGGGCAAGCGUUAUCCGGAUUUACUGGGUGUAAAGGGAGCGUAGACGGCGAUGCAAGCCAGAUGUGAAAGCCCGGGGCUCAACCCCGGGACUGCAUUUGGAACUGUGUGGCUGGAGUGUCGGAGAGGCAGGCGGAAUUCCUAGUGUAGCGGUGAAAUGCGUAGAUAUUAGGAGGAACACCAGUGGCGAAGGCGGCCUGCUGGACGAUGACUGACGUUGAGGCUCGAAGGCGUGGGGAGCAAACAGGAUUAGAUACCCCCGUA
rnacentral:rRNA from 1 species